UGGACUAGAUGGGCCUCCUUUGUCCUGACCCAGCAGGGCUCUUCUUAGGUUCUUGUUUUCAAAACAGGCUCUUUCAUUAACGGAAAAGCUGUGUUUUCCUUCCUGUGCCCUCAAUUUUAUAAGGCAGUUAGAGCAACAAAAAGUGAGAGCUGCAACAAAAUAUUGCAGUGUGGAGUGUUAUUCAGGCGUUCAGGUCAGCCAGCCACCCUCUCCCAGGAUACUCCAUUGCAUUGUUGUUACCCCCAUCCUUUGUCAGCAUUCUGUGGCCACUGAGCAUGGAUUAUUAUUGUUGAUUUUGGUCCCCUUAGUUACACAUUAUAAAGAUAAUUUGGUUUCCACAUAGUCGGCUAAUACAUAUCUCCAUUUUAUCUUUUCUUGGCUCCAUUUCUCUUCCAUAGCUAUCGGUGCUCAACCCCUGAGUUUGGGCCAUUGUGAAUGAAGUCAGUUCACUUUCAGAUGUGAAAAGAUUCGAAUUCUGCACCCAUUCCUAUUUGAUCAUAGAAUAAAAUUUGUUGUUGCUGUUGAAAUGAACCCUGUAAUGUAGCUUAUCGUAUGAUUUCUGCCCCUGGUUUCCUGGAUUCUGGUCUCGCGUUCUCACAAAAAGCCAACAACAUAUACACACACACACACCCUUCUGACAGCCUGUCCUGCUGUGUAAUACAGUGUGAUGGUUUGCUCCAGGAGUCUCAGCUGGGUGUAGACAUGGACGACACCCCAAAAGGAGCACUUCAAAUAUCUGAUUGCUCCUGACAGGAACUCCACCCCCCCCAGCUCUUGCACAUGCUCUGAAUCCUAUUAGAACCCACGUCACUUCCAUUUUGCUCUGGAUUUUCCCAAUAAUGAGCUGUUGAUAAAGAGCCCAGGAAUAGAGAACACUAGCAGGGGUCAUACAACAGGGGAGAGCUGCUCUUCCAAAACUGUGUGCCAGGCCAAGGAAGGCUAAAGUGAUGUUGAAGAAUGGCCAAUUUUGCCACAAGAAAUAAAUACACGUAUUAAAAAUGUUAGUUUUA